rnacentral:rRNA from 1 species
AGAAGAGGAGAGUAGAAUUCCAUGUGUAGCGGUGAAAUGCGCAGAGAUAUGGAGCCCCCCAGUGGCGAAGGCGUCUCUUUGGUCAUAACAGACGCUGAGGUGAGAAAGCGUGGGGAUCAAACAGGAUUAGAUACCCUGGUAGUCCACGCCGUAAACGAUGAGUGGUAAGUGUUGGGGGGUUUCCGCCCCUCAGUGCUGCAGCUAACGCA